rnacentral:rRNA from 1 species
AUGCAGUCGAGCGAUUGAUGGGAGCUUGCUCCCUGAUAUUAGCGGCGGACGGGUGAGUAACACGUGGGUAACCUGCCUGUAAGAUUGGGAUAACUCCGGGAAACCGGAGCUAAUACCGGAUAACAUUUUGAACCGCAUGGUUCGAAAUUGAAAGAUGGUUUCGGCUAUCACUUACAGAUGGACCCGCGGCGCAUUAGCUAGUUGGUGAGGUAACGGCUCACCAAGGCAACGAUGCGUAGCCGACCUGAGAGGGUGAUCGGCCACACUGGGACUGAGACACGGCCCAGACUCCUACGGGAGGCAGCAGUAGGGAAUCUUCCGCAAUGGACGAAAGUCUGACGGAGCAACGCCGCGUGAACGAUGAAGGCCUUCGGGUCGUAAAGUUCUGUUGUUAGGGAAGAACAAGUACCAGAGUAACUGCUGGUACCUUGACGGUACCUAACCAGAAAGCCACGGCUAACUACGUGCCAGCAGCCGCGGUAAUACGUAGGUGGCAAGCGUUGUCCGGAAUUAUUGGGCGUAAAGCGCGCGCAGGUGGUUUCUUAAGUCUGAUGUGAAAGCCCACGGCUCAACCGUGGAGGGUCAUUGGAAACUGGGGAACUUGAGUGCAGAAGAGGAAAGUGGAAUUCCAAGUGUAGCGGUGAAAUG